GAAUGGUGUAAUCUUCAAACGUGGAAGUUUUGCCAAACUAGCCUUUGCCUGUGUUUCCAUUUCAAUCUUUUUCUCGGUCAUUCGUAAUUCUGCGUUAAAUUUUUCUUCCCACAUUUCUCUUUCGCGCUCUCGUAUUUCUCGCCGACGACGUUCUCGUUCUCCCUUUCUGCUUCUUGUUUUUCCCACUCUAUUUCAUCGUUUGUUUU